rnacentral:rRNA from 1 species
GACGAACGCUGGCGGCGUGCUUAACACAUGCAAGUCGAACGGAAAGGCCCUGCUUUUGUGGGGUGCUCGAGUGGCGAACGGGUGAGUAACACGUGAGUAACCUGCCCUUGACUUUGGGAUAACUUCAGGAAACUGGGGCUAAUACCGGAUAGGAGCUCCUGCUGAAUGGUGGGGGUUGGAAAGUUUCGGCGGUUGGGGAUGGACUCGCGGCUUAUCAGCUUGUUGGUGGGGUAGUGGCUUACCAAGGCUUUGACGGGUAGCCGGCCUGAGAGGGUGACCGGCCACAUUGGGACUGAGAUACGGCCCAGACUCCUGCGGGAGGCAGCAGUGGGGAAUAUUGCACAAUGGGCGGAAGCCUGAUGCAGCAACGCCGCGUGCGGGAUGACGGCCUUCGGGUUGUAAACCGCUUUCGCCUGUGACGAAGCGUGAGUGACGGUAAUGGGUAAAGAAGCACCGGCUAACUACGUG